CCUACGGGUGGCAGCAGUGAGGAAUAUUGGUCAAUGGGCUUACGCCUGAACCAGCCAAGUCGCGUGAGGGAAGACUGCCCUAUGGGUUGUAAACCUCUUUUGUCAGGGAGCAACGCCGGCUACGUGUAGCCGGACGGAGAGUACCUGAAGAAAAAGCAUCGGCUAACUCGGUGCCAGCAGCCGCGGGAAUACGGAGGAUGCGAGCGUUAUCCGGAUUUAUUGGGUUUAAAGGGUGCGUAGGCGGAAUGCCAAGUCAGCGGUAAACUCGCGGGGCUCAACCUCGCUCCGCCGUUGAAACUGGCGUUCUUGCGUGGGCGAGACGUAUGCGGAAUGCGUGGUGUAGCGGU
rnacentral:rRNA from 1 species